UAAAAACAAAAACGACAGCAAACGGCUCGCUCGCUGCCGCACGGAGCGAGCGCGCAUGCGCGCCACAGACUACGGAAGCGCCUAUACGCCACCUAUACGCAAUAGACUAAAGCGCGUUAGGAAGGGGCAAGGCCUUGCUCUUGCGGCAAUAGCAAGGGCUUGGGCUUGCUCGGUGAGUCGGUGUUCCAGGAAAUUGAAUUAUUGAAAUCUCAAAUAGGUACAUAUACACGUACGUGUAUGUACGUCAAGUUGCAGUUGAAGUUUUCUUUAACAAUCUCUUUAACAAUUUGGCUUCGAUUUGUAAUGAAUUAUAACAUAACAUGGAUUCUGGGAAAAAAGAAAUCAUUAUUUUUAAUACAUCAGCCAAACAAGAAAAAUACCUACGGAUCAGUACGUUAACUCUAAAAAGAGCGUCUUAAAAGAUAAUUUUAAGAAAGAUGGAGUGUUAGAAUAUAAAGCAGAUAAAGAAGUAAGAAAACAUUAGAAUAUGGCAAAAGUUGAUGAAUUUUAUUUAAAAAAAAUUGAAGUUAUAAUUUUUCAAUUUCUCUUUGUUCACUGUCAAGAAUUAUGCAACGUCAUCAAUGGAAGAGGAAAAAUAUUGAAGAAAGUUCGUUACAAGAAAUAGUUAACGCUAUUUUAAUGGAGUUGCAAGGUAGUGCCUAUAGGCAAAUUAUAAUUUUGGAUAUCGUGCUAUGUGGAAACGCCUUAGGAAUGUAUACAAGCUCAAAGUGAGACAAAAAGUUGUAAUGAGACUUUUGAAAGAACUUGAUCCUGAAGGUGUUGAAGCAUGCAGUUGGUACAAGUUAAAAAGAAGGGUGUACGAAGUUCCUGGGCCAAAUUAUCUAUGGCAUGCUGAUAACCACGACAAGUUAAAGAGAUUUGGCUUUGCAAUAUGGAUGCAUUGAUGGGUUUUCAAAAAAAUUAUUUGGAUUGAAGUGGCAACAACUAAUAAUGAUCCAGGAAUCAUUGCUCAUUAUUAUUUGCAAAACAUCAAAAAGUGUGGUUUCUUACCAGCUAUUAUACGGACAGAUAAUGGCACAGAAGCUACACUAAUGGAAGAUCUUCACAAAGCUCUGCGUUGGAAGGACACGGAUGAGAAUGCAGGCCAUAAAAGUUUUUUAAGGGGUAAAAGCACUCACAACCAACGCAUAGAAAGUUUUUGGAGACAGUUUCGUCAAAGAUUUUUACAUUAAUUUUUUUAAAGUAAUGGAAACUGAAAACUUGCUGAACGUGUCAAAUAAAUUUGAUAUUGAGUGCUUGAGGUAUUGCUUUGGUCCGCUGAUUCAAGGUGAAAUCUCAUUUGUGAUAAAAGAAUGGAACGAACAUAAGAUCAGGAAGCAAAAUUCAAGGGAUAUUCUUGGAGGAAUACCAAAUGAACUAUAUCAUUGGCCAGAGAAAUAUGGUGCUCAUGACUACAAACGACCUGUAAAAAAAGAAUGCCUUCAAUCACUUUUGAAUGAUUACACAAAGUUUUCAAUUAUUUAUAAUAAGAUUAUAGAAGAAAUAGUGAAUUUGAUUCUUCCAAAUCCAGUAUCCAAUCCAUGUACAGUUGAAGAUGCUUAUCACCUUUACAUUAAAAUCAAGAAUAUAGUUGAAAACUACAUCAUCUGAUGAUGGAACUCAAAAGCUGGACAUCUUCAAAUCAUCGAGAAUGAGUCUCAUUUACAAAAGUGCCAUUCCUAAUUUUAGAUGACUAUUUUUUCUGAUUAUUAUUAUAAUUAUAAAUUAUACAUAUUAG